GCCCCUUAAGUUUUUGUACCAAAAGAACUAAUGCACAUUUGUAUUCUCCCAAAAGGGUGUUAUUAGCAUUCCUAUAUGAAUUUUUAAUAACAGACCCACUUCUAGAUGGCUGAAAAAACCACCACCUAUACCACAUAAAACAAAAGCACAACCAAAGAUGAACAUCAAGUAGAAUGAGCAUGAACAACAAAGCAAGAAAUAAUGAUGGGAGGCAUUGGUGACUGGGGAGACUCGGGUGGUGACUUUAAAUUGUCAACAAUAUGAUCGAGAGUCUGAAAGAAAUAGCAUACCUAGAUACGAGGCUUGACAUGCUUUGGUUGUUUUUUUUACAAGAAAAUGGUAGGUCAUUCCUUCGUUUUAGACAUGAGCAGCGACCUCGACCUAUGGAUGUGUUGGGUUACAUUUAAUGUCUCCGAACUGUAGAUGACUUAUUUGAAAACCAUUGAUGCAUACACGUUCCAGAUCAAUCUUGUGCUAUUUGGCAACCAAGGCGGUGAUCGAGGAAGCAAUGAUCUUUAUUUGUGGCAUGAACAUCAUUGAGCCUGGUGAAAUUAAUCCUCUCAAUUGUAUUGACUACAAAAGUCAACUUCUAGAUCUUCUCAAAACCAAUAAGAACUUAUUGAAGACAUUUCACAAAUCACAAGGGCCUACCUUAAGUUAAAACCCAG